rnacentral:rRNA from 1 species
UAAGCGGAGGAAAAGAAACUAACAAGGAUUCCCCUAGUAACUGCGAGUGAAGCGGGAAAAGCUCAAAUUUAAAAUCUGGCGGUCUUUGGCCGUCCGAGUUGUAAUUUAGAGAAGCGUCUUCCGCGCUGGACCGUGCACAAGUCUCCUGGAAUGGAGCGUCAUAGAGGGUGAGAAUCCCGUCNNGGCACGGAUGCCUGGUGCUUCUGUGAUGCGCUCUCGAAGAGUCGAGUUGUUUGGGAAUGCAGCUCAAAAUGGGUGGUGAACUCCAUCUAAAGCUAAAUAUUGGCGAGAGACCGAUAGCGAACAAGUACCGUGAGGGAAAGAUGAAAAGCACUUUGGAAAGAGAGUGAAACAGUACGUGAAAUUGUUGAAAGGGAAACGCUUGAAGUCAGUCGCGUCGACCGAGACUCAGCCUUGCCUUGGCUUGGUGUACUUCUCGGCCCGACGGGUCAGCAUCAAUUUUGCCCCACGGAUAAUGGCAAGGGAAAGGUGGCACCUUUACGGGUGUGUUAUAGUCUCCUGUCGAAUGCGAGGGGUGGGAUUGAGGAACUCAGCGCGCACCUCAGUGUCGGGGCUUCGGCCCACGUCACGCGCUUAGGAUGCUGGCGUAAUGGCUUUAA